GGAGACAGAUAAAAGCCACCUAAACAAAUGAAUAAUAUAAUUUCAAGUACUGAUGAGUGCUAUAAUAAUAACGCAAGCAAUAUCCAGUUUUCAAAGCAUAUUGCCCAUCUCACCUGAUCCUCACAAGGACUUCUGCCUGAGGUAGGUAGGACACAUGGUGGUUAACACCUUUGAUCAAGAAAUAAACUACUGGGGCGCC